UGGGGAAUAUUGGACAAUGGGCGAAAGCCUGAUCCAGCCAUGCCGCGUGUGUGAAGAAGGUCUUCGGAUUGUAAAGCACUUUAAGUUGGGAGGAAGGGCAUUAACCUAAUACGUUAGUGUUUUGACGUUACCGACAGAAUAAGCACCGGCUAACUCUGUGCCAGCAGCCGCGGUAAUACAGAGGGUGCAAGCGUUAAUCGGAAUUACUGGGCGUAAAGCGCGCGUAGGUGGUUUGUUAAGUUGGAUGUGAAAUCCCCGGGCCCAACCUGGGAACUGCAUUCAAAACUGACUGACUAGAGUAUGGUAGAGGGUGGUGGAAUUUCCUGUGUAGCGGUGAAAUGCGUAGAUAUAGGAAGGAACACCAGUGGCGAAGGCGACCACCUGGACUAAUACUGACACUGAGGUGCGAAAGCGUGGGGAGCAAACA
rnacentral:rRNA from 1 species